rnacentral:lncRNA from 1 species
GGACACAUUUAGUUUGAGGUCAUGGAGUACACUUGGAACAGAGAAAAUGGGAGAUGGGAAUCCUUUUGGGCAUGUUCAGAUACAUCAUAAUGAUGGCAACAGAAACCACUCUGAGCGUGCUCAGCUUUCAUUUAUAACAUUUUAAUUGGGGGAAAAUAGACAAUUUAAAGUUGCAUUAAUAUUGGCAUUUGCCUUUAUAGGUGUCUUCCUCAGUAGGCAACAUAUCCAUCAAGAUGCUGUAUCUACACAGGAAGGAGACCUGGCCCCUCCCAUGCUACGGUCCAAGUCACUAUCAUCAGCAGAACCCAGCAAGGUGGGAGAGAGACAGUCAUGCACAGAGAUCCCAGGGGAAGUGCCAUUCCGC